rnacentral:tRNA from 1 species
GAGGGUAUAGCUCAAGUGGUGGAGCACAUGCUUAGCAUGCACGAGGUCCUAGGUUCAAUCCUCAGUAUCUCCU